UACGGAGGGGGCUAGCGUUGUUCGGAUAUACUGGGCGUAAAGCGCACGUAGGCGGCGCCGUAAGUCAGGGGUGAAAUCCCGGAGCUCAACUCCGGAACUGCCCUUGAAACUGCAGUGCUAGAAUCUUGGAGAGGCGAGUGGAAUUCCGAGUGUAGAGGUGAAAUUCGUAGAUAUUCGGAAGAACACCAGUGGCGAAGGCGACUCGCUGGACAAGUAUUGACGCUGAGGUGCGAAAGCGUGGGGAGCAAACAGG
rnacentral:rRNA from 1 species